rnacentral:rRNA from 1 species
UUUUGGAGUGAUUUGUCUGGUURAUUCCGAUAACGAACGAGACUCUGUCCUGCUAAAUAGUGUCGGCCUCUCUUUUGGGCCGACAAUUCUUCUUAGAGGGACUGGCAGCUCCUAGCUGCACGAGAUAGAGCAAUAACAGGUCUGUGAUGCCCUUAGAUGUUCUGGGCAGCACGCGCGCUACACUGAAUAGAUCAGCGUGUUCUCCCUUUCUGAGAAGAACGGGUAAACCGCUGAACCCUAUUCGUGGUAGGGAUCGGGGCUUGCAAUUAUUCCCCGUGAACCAGGAAUUCCCAGUAGGCGCGAGUCAUAAGCUCGCGUCGAUUACGUCCCUGCCCUUUGUACACACCGCCCGUCGCUACUACCGAUUGAACGUUUUAGUGAGGUCCACGGACUGUUUGCAGAGCGGAUUAUUCUGCCUUGCUGGCGGGAAGUCGACCAAACUUGAGCGUUUAGAGGAAGUAAAAGUCGUAACAAGGUUUCCGUAGGU